UUCUGUGCAAGUUCCAACCACAGACUCGCGGUUUCCCAUUUGGCGCCUUCUCUAUCUGCAACUUUUGCCUGAAAGGGAGAUUACAAACCCACGAAGCACGAAGCACGAAGCUCAACUGCUUCAAUUCUCAAAUUUCACCUUUGCAAAAGUUCUAUUCCUUCUUUCACUUAAAUGGCGCUAAUCCAAAACCCCAAACCCACCACAAUUCUCAUAUCCUCCGCCUCUUACUGCUCCUCCCCCGCCACUUCACUUACACUUCCAUAUCCACUCAGAACCAACACCAACCCGCGGUUAUUUAGCACCAUUCCUUCAAGCAUUCACAAUCUUCAGCACCCUUUACCGUUCUUCUCUAGAAGGUUGUUUCUCCCUGCAGUGUCUGGCAUCUGGGAUGCCUUAACUGGCGGCAACAAUGCCCGUGAAGCCAUUGUUGCGAUUAGGCGCGGAAUGGUACUCUUUAGACAGGGAGAUGUCUUGGGGUCCUUAGCGGAAUUCGAUAAGGCAAUAGAGUUGGAUCCUCGUCAAAAGGCUUAUCUUUGGCAAAGGGGGCUAUCUCUCUACUAUCUCGAUAGAUUUGAAGAAGGGGCAGAGCAGUUUCGAUUAGAUGUUGCACAAAAUCCAAAUGACACAGAGGAGUCGAUAUGGUGCUUCCUUUGUGAAGCUCAGUUGUAUGGAGUUGAUGAGGCAAGGAAGCGAUUUCUUGAGGUUGGCAGAGAUCCACGGCCUGUCAUGCGGGAUGCUUAUAACAUGUUUAAAGAUAGAGGUGAUCCAGAAAAGCUUGUGACGGCAUUUUCAAAUGGCCCAGAGAAUGAAUAUUUCUAUGCUUCUUUAUAUGCUGGGCUAUAUCAUGAAUCCCAGAAUAAACCAGAUGCAGCCAAGUUUCAUAUAGUUGCUGCAUGUAGGUCUCCUUAUGGACAAAGGUCUGAUGAUUAUAUGGCGGCACUUUCCAAGGUUCACUGUCUAUGUCGAAACUGGAGCUUCAACUGAUAUUUUUCUGCAACUUGGUAACUGCAGCUCCUGAUAGUUCUGCUUAUUCUGAUUUUGGUGUUCUUCAGAAUGUUAAGAAAUCAUUUUAAGGCAUUACUGAGAUGCUGCUGAGGCCCCACCUACAGAUUGAAAAUGAAUAUGAUGGAUUUGGAAACCCAACGUAGAAGUACUAGCUGUGGAAUUUUCUUGAGAAUUUGUUUUCAUUUUUAGGCACUUUAUUGGCCAGAAUCAUGACUUAGAAAAGAAAAAAAAAACCCAUAUUU